rnacentral:rRNA from 1 species
AUUGAACGCUGGCGGCAGGCCUAACACAUGCAAGUCGAGCGGAUGAAGGGAGCUUGCUCCUGGAUUCAGCGGCGGACGGGUGAGUAAUGCCUAGGAAUCUGCCUGGUAGUGGGGGAUAACGUCCGGAAACGGGCGCUAAUACCGCAUACGUCCUGAGGGAGAAAGUGGGGGAUCUUCGGACCUCACGCUAACAGAUGAGCCUAGGUCGGAUUAGCUAGUUGGUAGGGUAAAGGCCUACCAAGGCGACGAUCCGUAACUGGUCUGAGAGGAUGAUCAGUCACACUGGAACUGAGACACGGUCCAGACUCCUACGGGAGGCAGCAGUGGGGAAUAUUGGACAAUGGGCGAAAGCCUGAUCCAGCCAUGCCGCGUGUGUGAAGAAGGUCUUCGGAUUGUAAAGCACUUUAAGUUGGGAGGAAGGGCAGUAAGUUAAUACCUUGCUGUUUUGACGUUACCAACAGAAUAAGCACCGGCUAACUUGGUG